ensembl:snRNA Gm25797 U6 spliceosomal RNA
GUGCUUGCUUCAGCAGUACAGAUACUAAAAUUGGAGUGAUGCAGAGAAGAUUAGCAUGGCCUCCACGCAGGUAUAACAUACAAGUUCGUGAAGUACUCCAUAUUUUU